rnacentral:tRNA from 1 species
GGGGAUAUAGCUCAGCGGCAUAAGCACCUGCCUUGCAAGCAGGCAGUUGUGAGUUCAAUCCCCGGUACCCAUA